rnacentral:rRNA from 1 species
UGGGGAAUAUUGCACAAUGGGCGAAAGCCUGAUGCAGCAACGCCGCGUGAGUGAUGAAGGUCUUCGGAUUGUAAAGCUCUGUCUUUUGGGACGAUAAUGACGGUACCAAAGGAGGAAGCCACGGCUAACUACGUGCCAGCAGCCGCGGUAAUACGUAGGUGGCGAGCGUUGUCCGGAUUUACUGGGCGUAAAGGGUGCGUAGGCGGAUGUUUAAGUGAGAUGUGAAAUACCCGGGCUUAACUUGGGUGCUGCAUUUCAAACUGGAUAUCUAGAGUGCAGGAGAGGAGAAUGGAAUUCCUAGUGUAGCGGUGAAAUGCGUAGAGAUUAGGAAGAACACCAGUGGCGAAGGCGAUUCUCUGGACUGUAACUGACGCUGAGGCACGAAAGCGUGGGUAGCAAACAGGAUUAGAUACCCUGGUAGUCCACGCCGUAAACGAUGAGUACUAGGGUGUAGGAGGUAUCGACCCCUUCU